ACUCCUACGGGAGGCAGCAGUGGGGAAUAUUGCACAAUGGGCGCAAGCCUGAUGCAGCCAUGCCGCGUGUAUGAAGAAGGCCUUCGGGUUGUAAAGUACUUUCAGCAGUGAGGAAGGCGGGUACGUUAAUAGCGUGCUUGUUUGACGUUAGCUGCAGAAGAAGCACCGGCUAACUCCGUGCCAGCAGCCGCGGUAAUACGGAGGGUGCGAGCGUUAAUCGGAAUUACUGGGCGUAAAGCGCAUGCAGGUGGUUUGUUAAGUCAGAUGUGAAAGCCCGGGGCUCAACCUCGGAAUUGCAUUUGAAACUGGCAGACUAGAGUACUGUAGAGGGGGGUAGAAUUUCAGGUGUAGCGGUGAAAUGCGUAAGAGAUCUGAAGGAAUACCGGUGGCGAAAGGCGGCCCCCUGGACAGAUACUGACACUCAGAUGCGAAAGCGUGGGGAGCAAACAGGAUUAGAUACCCUGGUAGGAUAGCG
rnacentral:rRNA from 1 species